GUUUUAAUAAUUUAAAUAAAAAUAUCGAUCUUGUAAAUCGAAAAUAAGAAACCUUUUAAAACA
rnacentral:tRNA from 1 species